rnacentral:rRNA from 1 species
UCUACGGGAGGCUGCAGUUUCGAAUCAUUCACAAUGGGCGAAAGCCUGAUGGUGCGACGCCGCGUGAGGGAUGAAGGUCUUCGGAUUGUAAACCUCUGUCACCGGGGAAGAAACGCUUCAAGUUAAUAGUUUGAAGCCUGACUUAACCCGGAGAGGAAGCAGUGGCUAACUCUGUGCCAGCAGCCGCGGUAAUACAGAGACUGCAAGCGUUAUUCGGAUUCACUGGCGGUAAAGUGUGCGCAGGCUGACAGCCCGGAGCUUAACUCCGGAAUUGCUCCUCAAACUACAUGGCUAGAGCAUUGGAGAGGGUAGCAGAAUUCACGGUGUAGCAGUGAAAUGCGUAGAUAUCGUGAGGAAUACCAGAGGCGAAGGCGGCUACCUGGACAAUUGCUGACGCUCAGGCACGAAAGCGUGGGGAGCAAAAGGGAUUAGAUACCCUGGUAGUC